ACGCUUGAAGUCAGUCGCGUUGGCUAGAAAUCAGCCUUGCUUUUGCUUGGUGUACUUUCUGGUCUGACGGGUCAGCAUCAAUUUCGACCAUUGGAUAAAGUCGUGGGGAAUGUGGCAUCUUUGGAUGUGUUAUAGCCCUUCGUCGCAUACAGUGGUUGGGAUUGAGGAACUCAGCACGCCGCAAGGCCGGGUCUCGACCACGUUCGUGCUUAGGAUGCUGGCAUAAUGGCUUUAAUCGACCCGUCUUGAAACACGGACCAAGGAGUC
rnacentral:rRNA from 1 species